rnacentral:rRNA from 1 species
GAUGAACGCUGGCGGCGUGCCUAAUACAUGCAAGUCGAGCGAACAGACGAGGAGCUUGCUCCUCUGACGUUAGCGGCGGACGGGUGAGUAACACGUGGAUAACCUACCUAUAAGACUGGGAUAACUUCGGGAAACCGGAGCUAAUACCGGAUAAUAUAUUGAACCGCAUGGUUCAAUAGUGAAAGACGGUUUUGCUGUCACUUAUAGAUGGAUCCGCGCCGCAUUAGCUAGUUGGUAAGGUAACGGCUUACCAAGGCAACGAUGCGUAGCCGACCUGAGAGGGUGAUCGGCCACACUGGAACUGAGACACGGUCCAGACUCCUACGGGAGGCAGCAGUAGGGAAUCUUCCGCAAUGGGCGAAAGCCUGACGGAGCAACGCCGCGUGAGUGAUGAAGGUCUUCGGAUCGUAAAACUCUGUUAUUAGGGAAGAACAAAUGUGUAAGUAACUAUGCACGUCUUGACGGUACCUAAGCAGAAAGCCACGGCUAACUACGUG